AUUGAACGCUGGCGGCAUGCCUAACACAUGCAAGUCGAACGGCACCAUCGAGAAGCUUGCUUCUUGGGUGACGAGCGGCGGACGGGUGAGUAAUAUGUCGGAAAGUACCUAGUAAAGGGUGUUAACUAAUCGAAUGUUUACCUAAUACCGCAUAUUAUCCGACGUUAAAAGCGGGGGACCUUCGGUCCUUGUGUUAUUCGAGUGACCGAUAUCCGAUUAGCUAGUAGGUGGGGUAAAGGCUCACCAAGGCGGCGAUCACUAGCUGGUCUGAGAGGGUGACCCGCCACACUGGGACUGAGACACGGCCCAGACUCCUACGGGAGGCAGCAGUGGGGAAUUUUGCGCAAGGGGCGCAAGCCUGAUCCAGCCAUGCCGCGUGUCUGAAGAAGGCCUUCGGGUUGUAAAGUACUUUUGUCAGGGAAGAAGAGACUGUUGCUAAUACCGACAGCUGAUGACGGUACCUGAAGAAUAAGCACCGGCUAACUACGUG
rnacentral:rRNA from 1 species